UACGUAGGUGGCGAGCGUUGUCCGGAUUUAUUGGGUUUAAAGGGUGCGUAGGCGGCUUUGUAAGUCAGUGGUGAAAUAUGUCAGCUCAACUGAGAGGGUGCCAUUGAUACUGCGGAGCUUGAGUACAGAUGAGGUAGGCGGAAUUGACGGUGUAGCGGUGAAAUGCUUAGAUAUCGUCAAGAACACCUAUAGCGAAGGCAGCUUACUAGGCUGUAACUGACGCUGAGGCACGAAAGUGUGGGGAUCAAACAGG
rnacentral:rRNA from 1 species